UUGCAUUAGGGAUAAAAGCGAUAUCCUUUUAUUUUUUCCUUUAAAAAAUAAAAGAUAAAGCGGAUAGCACGUCGUCGU
rnacentral:sRNA from 1 species